AUGAACCAAAUUACCGUCCAACUCAAAUAAAUGCCUCGCUUAAUUGUCCAGCAAAUUUUGAUUAAAGGAUGUUAUCGCUUAGCUUCAUAUGCAGAUAAACAGAACAUAUACAAUAUAUACAAUAUAUAUAAUAACCCUGUCACAUUCACAAUUAAAUUAAUUGCAAGCAAAUCAGUAUGUUAAACUAUUACAUUGUUUCGAUCUUUUUUCAUUGUGUCGCAUUGUUUAUACAUUUUAUGUUUGUACCUGCACGUGUAGUUGCGGUGAGAGCGCGUGGGAAAGGCGGGGUCGAGAAGGGUGGCGUCACGCAUCAGGGCGGGGCCACACUAUGCAGCAGCUCAAAGAAGAGCAAGAGGCAGCGCGCUGGAAUUUGGCAACAGAUAUUCAGAUGCAUCACAACUCUUCCGAUUGCAAUAUGGAUUGACACAGCGCCCACUGAGAUGGCUCAUGCCGAGCUGAGAUGCAUGAUGGGAUACAUGCUGUGGUUCACAUGGAAUUGGAUCUGUCUCAGUGUUUUAUCUAUAAAUGACUCAGCUUCUUCAACACUGCCUGCAGGCUGGGAGCAGAUCAGAACCGAUCUGUGGAGCAUUUGUUGUUGAACUCAUGCCGUGGUGCUUCCCAAGACUUGCCUGCUAGUUAUGCAACACAGGCCUGAAUUGUUGAUAUUUCUUUGGAUAUAAGAUAUUGUGGAACUAAAAGGUCUGUCUGCUUCUAUUUCUACCCUGGAAAGGCGCUCACAUGAUUGUAAACGUGACGUGUGAAAAGGUCCUCAACCGUAUGCUAUGGUGAGGCAAGGAUGUUAUAUCAUUUUGGUCCUGAUGCAGACCAUUUCCGCAAUAUGUUCCUUCUUCAGUCAUGUGAAUGAUGGAGUCUUGGAAGCAAUCUGGCAUGAAUAAUAAAUGUGCAACUCUUACCAGAAACAGCUGCUCUGUUUUUGUAAUGACCAUUAGUGUUCUGUUUUAGGAGACAUAAAAUGAUUUGUAUUUGUGUUAAAUGUUGGUCUGUAUUCUGUAUAUGUAUCUAAAGAAGGCCACGUUCUUCAGCAGCUCAUGUAUUUUUUAUAGCUUUGUAAAAAUGUCAUUCUGGCAUGCCUUACUACCUGAAAUUAGGGAUGUAUAAAACAACAUAUUUUCAAGAUCAACUAGUUGGUGUGUUGCCUUAAUUACUAGUUGAUUAUUUUGUCUGAAAGAAACCCUUUAUAAACAGGGUGGUCAGACAGCUCUCUUAUGGUGCAUUUACUCAAUAUCUGUUUGUGUGUUUAAAAUAAGAAGGGAGCACAAUGAAAUGGAAAAGAAUGCAGUAAAAGUGGAACAACUUUUAAAUUGACAAGUAGUUGUAAAAAUUGAAUGCUAAUUAAAUCACUGGCACAAAUAUGAUCAAAACAAAAAGACAAAAGAAAAAUUUAUAAUAUAAAAAAAAUUCUGUAUGUAAUAUGCGAUAUGUAUAAAAUCAAAACUUUCAUUUUAAAUAUGUUAAAAGAACUAUGACUUAAAUUCCAAAUAUGUCUGAAUGAAUAAUAAAUAAGACCCAUGGCUACUGGAAAUCAAUUUAGACAUGGAUUUUUAAAUGUAUUUUUUGUGUAUUUGUAAUUAGUAAGGACUGAAUGUAUGUGCAUUCAUUGCUUAUAUCUGUGAGAAUUUGCAAAAAUGCAAGUGGUUCCUGAUUACAUAUUCCUUUUUGGAAUAUGAAAAUUAUGGCCUUAAGUGAUUCCCUAGUGUUUUACUAUAGGUUUAGACAGUUUUAGGACAAGUUACCCUUUCUUUUUAUUCUCUAGACGUUUUGUUGUUGGUGGUGUUGGUGUUUUAAUACAUUACAAAUGGCACAGAUUAUGUUCAUUUACUCUGAAUACCCCACAAAAUAGGAAUGGGCUAAAUACAGUAAUUUUUCCUCGCAGUGAUCUGAUACCAGAAUAGAGAUAUGGCAGCCAGCAAUCUCUGCAUUCCUCUCCCCCAUUUAGGUGCGCUUUUAGAUGCGCUUCUGUGAAAUCAAUACCUGACAAACACGUGUGCAUCAGCAGAGAGCUAUAUAAGUCAUUUCCUGCUGACCUUCAGGGUCAUCCUCCUUGCUGGUCAUAGUAAAGCAUGCUGAACAAAUGUUUUAAAUUCAGAAAUUGGUAACACCAUUUGAGUCAUGCAUAUAUAUAUAUUUUAGCAUUAUGUCAUAGGCUCAUUUUCGCAUUCUGUAUAGUCAUUGCAUCAUAGCCCAGAAUAGAGAAUGUGAAUCAUCCAAGUUGAGUACCUUGAUUCGUUUUUAUCUACUUCCUCAUAGUGGUGUUUCUGUUGCAAGUGACAAACCACUUCCCUUAAGACCUCUUACAAACUGCAAAACAUCCUGGUUCAGCUGCACUUACUUGCACAUGCAUUUUCACUGCCCACUUCUUUUUAACCCAUUUCUUGGUAAACAUCUGUUCUAAAGGAUUCUAGUUGCAAUCUUUUGUACAAGCUAUUUCUUUAAUGUUUUCUUUCAGAUGACAUAAUUGAACUUUACCACUGGAUUUAAACAAAAUCUAAAGCUCUUUGAUGCUGAAAGGGUUUCACAGAGAGAUUCUGACAGCAGCUUCUUCAUCUGACAAUUUGCUAUUAGUUAGAAUUUGUUGUUUGUUUUUAUACUUGUAUUAAUGAGAUCAUCAGACACAGCAGCAAAAUGUUCAAGCAGGUAAAGAGUAGGGAAAUCUUCUUUGCAUUCCCUCUACAUUCUGCUAAGGUUGUCAUCCAAAUGAUUCUGAGCCCAAAACUUGUGGAUUGCUUUCUUUCUUUCUUUAAAAGAAACCUGAAUGCAUUAACACAAUAACUAUGGC
rnacentral:lncRNA from 1 species